UACGUAGGGUGCAAGCGUUAAUCGGAAUUACUGGGCGUAAAGCGUGCGCAGGCGGUGAUGUAAGACAGUUGUGAAAUCCCCGGGCUCAGCCUGGGAACUGCAUCUGUGACUGCAUCGCUGGAGUACGGUAGAGGGGGAUGGAAUUCCGCGUGUAGCAGUGAAAUGCGUAGAUAUGCGGAGGAACACCGAUGGCGAAGGCAAUCCCCUGGACCUGUACUGACGCUCAUGC
rnacentral:rRNA from 1 species